UUUUAUCUCAGUUUUUUUUUCUGUUGUUCCAAUACACACAAAGGAAAUAACCAUGUGUAUAACAAAAUAUGUGUCAUUGCAACAAUUUUAUGGAAGAAAUACUGUGCAGCCCCUCUACAAGAUCAUUAAUAAAUAUAUUGAAGAGAAUAGGGCCCAAUACUGACCCCUGCGGUACCACACUAGUGACAGUGACCCUCCAAUACUGACCCCUGCGGUACCACACUAGUGACAGUGACCCUCCAAUACUGACCCCUGAGGUACCACACUAGUGACACUGACCCCUCCAUUACUGACCCCUGCGGUACCCCACUGGUGACACUGACCCCUCCAAUACUGACCCCUGAGGUACCCCACUGGUGACACUGACCCCUCCAGUACUGACCCCUGCGGUACCCCACUAGUGAUGGUGACCCUAAUCAGAGUAUGAAAUGGGUUUUGCUGGGGGUCUGUCACCAGGAAAUUCACUGAUAAACCAUUGUUCUUCUGCAUAGUGAAUUAGUAUAUGGCAUCUUAACCAGUAUUUACGUUGCUCACAUAUUAAACUUGGCGCAGAUG